rnacentral:tRNA from 1 species
GGAGAGGUGGCAGAGUGGCUGAACGCGCACGCCUGGAAAGCGUGUUUACGGAAACGUAACGAGGGUUCGAAUCCCUCUCUCUCCG